rnacentral:rRNA from 1 species
CAGGCUUAACACAUGCAAGUCGAGGGGCAGCAUGGUCUUAGCUUGCUAAGGCCGAUGGCGACCGGCGCACGGGUGAGUAACGCGUAUCCAACCUGCCUUACACUCUUGGACAGCCUUCUGAAAGGGAGAUUAAUACAAGAUGUUAUCAUGAGUAAGCAUUUUCGCAUGAUUAAAGGUUUACCGGUGUAAGAUGGGGAUGCGUUCCAUUAGAUAGUAGGCGGGGUAACGGCCCACCUAGUCUUCGAUGGAUAGGGGUUCUGAGAGGAAGGUCCCCCACAUUGGAACUGAGACACGGUCCAAACUCCUACGGGAGGCAGCAGUGAGGAAUAUUGGUCAAUGGACGAGAGUCUGAACCAGCCAAGUAGCGUGAAGGAUGAAGGUUCUAUGGAUUGUAAACUUCUUUUAUACGGGAAUAAACGAAUCCACGUGUGGAUUUUUGCAUGUACCGUAUGAAUAAGGAUCGGCUAACUCCGUGCCAGCAGCCGCGGUAAUACGGAGGAUCCGAGCGUUAUCCGGAUUUAUUGGGUUUAAGGGGAGCGUAGAUGGGUUGUUAAGUCAGUUGUGAAAGUUUGCGGCUCAACCGUAAAAUUGCAAUUGAUACUGGCAGUCUUGAGUACAGUUGAGGUAGGCGGAAUUCGUGGUGUAGCGGUGAAAUGCUUAGAUAUCACGAAGAACUCCGAUUGCGAAGGCAGCUUACUAACCUGUAACUGACAUUGAUGCUCGAAAGUGUGGGUAUCAAACAGGAUUAGAUACCCUGGUAGUCCACACGGUAAACGAUGAAUACUCGCUGUAGGCGAUAUACAGUCUGCGGCCAAGCGAAAGCAUUAAGUAUUCCACCUGGGGAGUACGCCGGCAACGGUGAAACUCAAAGGAAUUGACGGGGGCCCGCACAAGCGGAGGAACAUGUGGUUUAAUUCGAUGAUACGCGAGGAACCUUACCCGGGCUUAAAUUGCAACCGAAUAUGGCGGAAACGCUAUAGCUAGCAAUAGCGGUUGUGAAGGUGCUGCAUGGUUGUCGUCAGCUCGUGCCGUGAGGUGUCGGCUUGAGUGCCAUAACGAGCGCAACCCUUGCCGAUAGUUACUAACAGGUCAUGCUGAGGACCCUGUCGGGACUGCCAUCGUAAGAUGUGAGGAAGGUGGGGAUGACGUCAAAUCAGCACGGCCCUUACGUCCGGGGCUACACACGUGUUACAAUGGGGGGUACAGAGGGCUGCUACCACGCAAGUGGAUGCCAAUCCCAAAAACCUCUCUCAGUUCGGAUUGAAGUCUGCAACCCGACUUCAUGAAGCUGGAUUCGCUAGUAAUCGCGCAUCAGCCACGGCGCGGUGAAUACGUUCCCGGGCCUUGUACACACCGCCCGUCAAGCCAUGGGAGCCGGGGGUACCUGAAGUGCGUAACCGCAAGGAGCGCCCUAGGGUAAAACUGGUGACUGGGGC